GUUACCUGUCCAUCCCAUAAUUCUGAAUGCUUUUAAUCCUUCUCCAGGAGUCAUCAAAAUUUUAGGUAUUCCAGCAUUGCUUAUGAGUCUGACUCCAAAUUCUCAACCAAGAUUUAAGGCAAUGGCUCUGUAAAAAUCAAAAAGUAAUGUACAUAAUUUGAACCAAAAGUUCAAGGCAAAUAUCCCUGUUCCAAAAGGAAGAAUGGAAAAAUAAUGAGAAAAUUAGAACAAAGCAAAACUGAAUUUCACCAAGGCAAACUCUAAGUUCUAUAGCAACAUAUCUGACAUUCAGGAAAUAUGGCAUGAUUUGUGCUAUAAACAGAUUGAGUAGCCCCGUCUCCGUGGUUUUAUUGGUGGUGGCCCACAGGGCCACUGUCUUGUGAAGGCUCUACUCAUCUCCUGCAACAUAUCUUGGUCUUUGAAAUCUCAGUGGAAACCUGUAUGAUCCUAUUAAUCUUUAUUACUUGUGCUUGAACAAUCAGCACUGUGUGGAUAAUGCCAAGGCCUAGUGCUACUGAUGAAUUCAUGCCUGCUUGUGCUGCUAGGAGCUUUCUUCUUCCAUUCCCUCCCACCAUGGUAUUUCCACUUUGGAGCCAACCAACCAGAGACUGAACCUCCUGAAAUGGUGAAUGAAAAUAAAUUUCUC